rfam:Ovis aries breed Texel chromosome 6, whole genome shotgun sequence.
UCCCUGGUGGCUCAGAGGCUAUAGCAUCUGCCUGGAGUGCAGGAGACCCGGGUUCGAUCCCUGGGUCGGGAA